UGCUCGGUCAUAUAAAGUAAACAACGAAUUCCAUCACUUUUUUCACAUACGAAAUAGUUCUUUUCUUUUAAUGCUUGUAAAUGUUUCUUUGAAAAAGAAACUGGCUGUGAUCCAGGAAAUGUAUCAGGACUUGUUCCUAAUAAUUUGGCAAUUCGUGUCUUUAAAACCCUCACAUCGUCGCGCGGUGCUAAAACUCCAGGGACUGAUACCUCUUCAAUGUCUUUCUCUGAGGGUGCCAUUCCUUUUAAUAAUACACUCGUUUCUUUGCUAAGAGAGGGCUUAAGCACUUUCUGAAGGAGUAGAAACGGGAUAUAGUCUUAAUGUACUAAAUAAAGACACAUGGU